rnacentral:rRNA from 1 species
GACGAAUGCUGGCUGCGUGCUUAACACAUGCAAGUCGAACGGUGAACAGGGGCUUGCCCCUGGGAUCAGUGGCGAACGGGUGAGUAACACGUGGGCAACCUGCCCCUCACUCUGGGAUAACUCCGGGAAACCGGGGCUAAUACCGGAUACGACCAGGCACGACAUCGGGUCUGGUGGAAAGAACUUCGGUGAGGGAUGGGCCCGCGGCCUAUCAGCUUGUUGGUGAGGUAAUGCCUCACCAAGGCGACGACGGGUAGCCGGCCUGAGAGGGCGACCGGCCACACUGGGACUGAGACACGGCCCAGACUCCUACGGGAGGCAGCAGUGGGGAAUAUUGCGCAAUGGGCGAAAGCCUGACACAGCGACGCAGCGUGAGGGAAGAAGGCC